UAGUCAUAUGCUUGUCUUAAAGAUUAAGCCAUGCAUGUCUAAGUAUAAGCAUUUAUACUGCGAAACUGCGAAUGGCUCAUUAAAUCAGUUAUAGUUCAUUUGAUAAUACCUAAAACUACUUGGAUAACCGUAGUAAUUCUAGAGCUAAUACAUGCGAAAAACCCCGACUCUUUGGAAGGGGUGCAUUUGUUAGAUACAAAACCAAUGCGGCGGGGCAACUCGUCGGAACCUUGGUGAUUCAUGACAACUUUGCGAAUCGCAUAGCCUCUGUGCUGGCG
rnacentral:rRNA from 1 species